NUCCUUCCUUCCUUCCUUCGAAAGUUGUAUCCUUCCUUCCUUCCUUCCUUCCUUCCUUCCUUCCUUCUGCGGGAGGGGAGAGCGCAGGGGGGGCUCAAGGUUCAGGUGUUUGAUCCUCGUUUGGAAAUUCUAAAGGUCACCCCCCGCCCUUAACGGGGCCGCGGGAGGCCGGGACUUGGGGCAAAUCCUGUUUAUUUCUGUGGGGCCGGGCGGGAGGGGCAGCGCUGCAGCCCCCCACAGCCCGCAUGGGGGUCACGCCGUAGUGACUCUGCGGCUGCCUCUGUCACUACCAGAAGUCACUGACCUCCCCGGGGCCGACCCAGGGCGGGUGUCUCGGUUCGAGGCGCUCGCUGCCAACAGCCGAGCAGCCCCCCGCACGCUGCGCGCCCACAGGCCGAGCCGCUGGGGGUGUUUGCAACAUCCGUGGUUUCACUUUUCAGGUGUUCCUACACGAGCUCAAAAUCCAGAGUUACAGGAAGGCGUCCGAGGCCUCCCCCUUCCCCUCGGCACCCCUGGAAGCCAGUGCAGGGACCGACCCCCGGCUCCAUCCUUGCCCCCCAGGCCCUGUCCCUGCCCCGGGCGCUGCCGCGGUGCCACCACACACAGAUGCGGAUGCGGACAUGGUAAAAAAUUAUCUUGGAAAACACGGAGAUGGGGAGGUGUGGGACGAUCACCGCUGCACCACCAGAGUUCUCCAACACCUGACGCAGGCACACGGGUCCGUCACUACACUGGGGAGGCCUCUCCUAACCCUAACGUUUUGGAAACAGCUUUCUUUUCCAAAUUUUAUUUCCUUUCUUUUUUCCCCUUAAGAGCUGCCUUGUCACAAAUCCACAAAGAAGCAACCGAGUUCCUGCCCGUCCGGCCACCGGGUUCGGGGCCCGCUGCGGAGGCGGGUGCGUGGGGCGGCGCAGGAAGGGGAGCCCCGGCACCCGCCCCCCAGCUCCUCACGCUCAGAACUGCCCGGCAGCUUUCCCUUCCUAAUCCAGCCCUUCCCUGAGGAUCGUUAGUUCUUGGUUUAUUGCACGGGAAAACCUAAAGCAGCGGGACUGCGGGUUCCUGGCUGGCGGCCCCUGUGCCAGGGGAAGAACCCGCCGGCACUGGGAGAGCGCCUGGGCCCGGAGCCAAACGCGGCUGCACG
rnacentral:lncRNA from 1 species